rnacentral:rRNA from 1 species
UACGUAGGGUGCGAGCGUUGUCCGGAAUUACUGGGCGUAAAGAGCUCGUAGGCGGUCUGUCACGUCGGCUGUGAAAACGCGAGGCUCAACCUCGCGCCUGCAGUGGGUACGGGCAGACUAGAGUGCGGUAGGGGAGAUUGGAAUUCCUGGUGUAGCGGUGGAAUGCGCAGAUAUCAGGAGGAACACCGGUGGCGAAGGCGGGUCUCUGGGCCGUAACUGACGCUGAGGAGCGAAAGCGUGGGGAGCGAACAGG